rnacentral:rRNA from 1 species
UACAGAGGUCUCAAGCGUUGUUCGGAUUCAUUGGGCGUAAAGGGUGUGUAGGUUGCGCGCUAAGUCGGGUGUGAAAUUUCGGAGCUUAACUCCGAAACUGCAUUUGAUACUGGCGUGCUUGAGGACUGGAGAGGAGACUGGAAUUCAUGGUGUAGCAGUGAAAUGCGUAGAGAUCAUGAGGAAGACCAGUGGCGAAGGCGGGUCUCUGGACAGUUCCUGACACUGAGACACGAAGGCCAGGGGAGCAAACGGG